UCUAAGGGGGUUUAUAGGGUUUUAGCAGCGAUGGAGUGGGUAUCUGGAGGUCCAGGGAGCCGAGGGCGAUGGAGCUCGGCCACAGUGUGGAGCAUUUCAUCACUCGCAGGCGCUCUUCGCGGCUGCGGUCGGGCAACACAUCACUGAGUUCGAUGCUCUCACGGGCUGUAAGCUCUCAAUAUGAGCUUCAAUAUUGGAGCUUCCGUCGUGCGUAUGGCAUAUAGUCCUGCUGGCGGGCAUGUAAUUGUCGCAGUUCUAGAGGAUUGGAGCAUUGAGUUGUGGGUGGGAUCUAGAUACCGAGCACACGCAUUUUCUUUAUUCUCCAGCCAAGAAAACAGACAGGAUCCCAGAAAAGAUGGACAUAUACAUUACUCUGGCACCACUUCGACCGUGGCUGUUCUUUGGAACGUAUGUAGUCUUUGUCUUGUAUCAAGAUAAACUUUUGAUGCGUCA